GUAGGUGGCAAGCGUUGUCCGGAAUUAUUGGGCGUAAAGCGCGCGCAGGCGGGGGUUCUUUUAAGUCUGAUGUGAAAGCCCACGGGCUCAACCGUGGAGGGUCAUUGGAAACUGGAGAACUUGAGUACAGAAGAGGAAAGCGGAAUUCCACGUGUAGCGGUGAAAUGCGUAGAGAUGUGGAGGAACACCAGUGGCGAAGGCGGCUUUCUGGUCUGUAACUGACGCUGAGGCGCGAAAGCGUGGGGAGCAAACAGGAUUAGAUACCCUGGUAGUCCACGCCGUAAACGAUGAGUGCUAAGUGGUUAGGGGGGUUUCCCGCCCCUUAGUGCUGCAGCUAACGCAUUAAGCACUCCGCCGUGGGGAGUACGACCGCAAGGUUG
rnacentral:rRNA from 1 species